rnacentral:rRNA from 1 species
GACCCCGCACAAGCGGUGGAGCAUGUGGUUUAAUUCGAUGAUACGCGAGGAACCUUACCAGGACUUAAAUGUAAGUUGCAUGAUUCAGAAAUGAAUCUUUCUUCGGACUACUUACAAGGUGCUGCAUGGUUGUCGUCAGCUCGUGCCGUGAGGUGUCAGGUUAAGUCCUAUAACGAGCGCAACCCCUAUCGUUAGUUGCCAGCAAGUAAAGUUGGGAACUCUAGCGAAACUGCCGGUGCAAACCGUGAGGAAGGUGGGGAUGACGUCAAAUCAUCACGGCCCUUACGUUCUGGGCUACACACGUGCUACAAUGGCCGGUACAGAAAGCAGCCACUAUGCGAAUAGGAGCUAAUCUUUAAAAACCGGUCUCAGUUCGGAUCGCAGUCUGCAACUCGACUGCGUGAAGCUGGAAUCGCUAGUAA